UACAGGGGGGGCAAGCGUUGUUCGGAAUUACUGGGCGUAAAGGGCUCGUAGGUGGCCAACUAAGUCGGACGUGAAAUCCCUCAGCUUAACUGGGGAACUGCAUCCGAUACUGGAUGGCUUGAGUUUGGGAGAGGGAUGCGGAAUUCCAGGUGUAGCGGUGAAAUGCGUAGAUAUCUGGAGGAACACCGGUGGCGAAGGCGGCAUCCUGGACCAAUAUUGACGCUGAGGAGCGAAAGCCAGGGGAGCAAACGGG
rnacentral:rRNA from 1 species